rnacentral:rRNA from 1 species
UACGUAGGGUGCAAGCGUUAUCCGGAAUUAUUGGGCGUAAAGAGCUCGUAAGCGGUUUGUCGCGUCGGCUGUGAAAACCUGGGGCUCAACCCCGGGCCUGCAGCCGAUACGGGCAAACUAGAAUUCGGUAGGGGAGACUGGAAUUCCUGGUGUAGCGGUGAAAUGCGCAGAUAUCAGGAGGAACACCGGUGGCGAAGGCGGGUCUCUGGGCCGAUAUUGACGCUGAGGAGCGAAAGCGUGGGGAGCGAACAGG